rnacentral:rRNA from 1 species
GGCCUAACACAUGCAAGUCGAACGGCAGCAUGAUCUGUAGCAAUACAGGUUGAUGGCGAGUGGCGGACGGGUGAGGAACACAUCGGAAUCUGCCCGGUCGUGGGGGAUAACGUAGGGAAACUUACGCUAAUACCGCAUGAGACCGAGAGGUGAAAGCGGGGGAUCGCAAGACCUCGCGCGAUCGGAUGAGCCGAUGUCGGAUUAGCUAGUUGGUGGGGUAAAGGCCUACCAAGGCGACGAUCCGUAGCUGGUCUGAGAGGAUGAUCAGCCACACUGGGACUGAGACACGGCCCAGACUCCUACGGGAGGCAGCAGUGGGGAAUAUUGGACAAUGGGGGCAACCCUGAUCCAGCAAUGCCGCGUGUGUGAAGAAGGCCUUCGGGUUGUAAAGCACUUUUAUCGGGAACGAAACAUUGUCGGUGAAUAUCCGGCAAGACUGACGGUACCCGAGGAAUAAGCACCGGCUAACUUCGUGCCAGCAGCCGCGGUAAUACGAAGGGUGCAAGCGUUACUCGGAAUUACUGGGCGUAAAGGGUGCGUAGGUGGUUUUUUAAGUCUGCUGUGAAAUCCCCGGGCUCAACCUGGGAAUGGCAGUGGAUACUGGAAAGCUAGAGUGCGGUAGAGGGUAGUGGAAUUCCCGGUGUAGCAGUGAAAUGCGUAGAGAUCGGGAGGAACACCAGUGGCGAAGGCGGCUACCUGGACCAGCACUGACACUGAGGCACGAAAGCGUGGGGAGCAAA